UCAAGAUCAGAUUUUGAAUCAGACGUUUCUCACCCUCUCUCUUUCUACCGUCGCGCCGGUCAUGGCGUCGCCGGCGAGCGACGCCGGCCGUUGCCUCGUCUCUCUCUCUCUCCCGGCAUCUCUCUAUCUUUCUCGGCCGACGGAGUUCGGCCGCCUCCUGGAGAAGAAACUCCGUCGCCGGCGUCCACCCAUCACAGGAUCUCCGCCGCCGUCGUCCACUUUCAGUUCGAUUUCACGCACCAAUUCGUCGAGUGAGGGGGGGAAGGGUGCAGCGUGAUUCUUUCGGGGCAGCGGUGUGCGUCGUGGAUGGCUGCCGGAGAUAGCAGCGGCGGCGGCUGCCGCCCAGUGACAGCAGCAGCAGCAGUGGCUGCUCCGGGUGACAGCAGCGGCGCCUUCCGGUAGCUCGGUGUCCAUCGGUGCACUCUUAAAGGCUAAGUUCUUUAUCUCUCUGUUAUCUAAUUUCCAUCUUGAGUUCCUUCUCAUUGGGGCAGUGGCUAUGGUUGGUUAUUACUUAGAGUUGAGAUAGAUGAUGAAAGCUUGGUGUUGUUGGAACUUGCUCUAGAGAUUCCAGCAUAAGGAUGAUUUAGAAGCUAAUACACUGUGUUGCUAGAUUCUUGCUAUGAAAAUGGUAUUGACUAAGAGUCCAAUGUUCAAGGUCUAAGUUGAGCAUGAAAGUUGUGAGAAAAGCUUGGUCUAACAAUGGUGAUAAAGAUGAGAGUAAUUGGAUAAGUUUUACUACAUGAUGUAAUGAAAUGCAAAAGUAUGCAAAAGUGAAGUAAAAGCUUAAGAAAUCAAAUGUUUAAGGAUAAUUACCUUAAGGAAAAAGAAGAAUGUAGUGUGUAGAGAAUAAAUCCUUCUUCUUCAAGCACUUGCUAGCAUCAUUAGUUGAAAUGAGAUUUUGUUUAGAGAAAUCUAGUGUUGAAGCAAAAGUGUAGGUGAAGGAGUGGUGUAGUAUUUAUAGAGGAAAAGAAUGCAUGGCUUUACAUGGUUAAUAGCUUGGUUUAGGAAGGCAAUGCAUCGUCCAAGAGUCAUGGACUUUUUGCCAAAUGAGGCAAGUUGUCCAAUCAAUCAUUCACAAUACCAUAAAUGGCAAGAAUAUUAUGUCUCGUCCCUUAAAAAGACGUGAGCCGUCAUUUGGAAAACGUGAGCCGUCGUUUGAUAAGCGUGUUUGAUGUGAUGUGCUUUCGUCGAUCGUCUCGUCUUGAUUUAACAUGCUUCUUAUCCAUUCGUGUAGGUAUCGGGGUUCAAGGCGUGACUAUUUAGCGAGACUCGGAGGGCGUGGAAAGUAUUUUUAUAUUUAUUUUAUUUCUACUCAAACGUUGAACUCGUGUACGAACUUUUAUUUUAGAAAACUACAUCUAUUGUGAUAA